GUCCUGGCCUUAAACGAUGGAUGCUUGGUGUCUGGGGUUUAUAGUCCCCGGGUGCCGCAGCUAACGCGUUAAGCAUCCCGCCUGGGGAGUACGGUCGCAAGACUGAAACUCAAAGGAAUUGACGGGACCCGCACAAGCGGUGGAGCAUGUGGUUCAAUUCGACGCAACGCGAAGAACCUUACCUGGGCUAGAAUGCCUCUGACAACUCCAGAGAUGGAGCCUCUUAGGGAACUUAGGCAGAGUGCAAGGUGCUGCAUGGCUGUCGU
rnacentral:rRNA from 1 species